rnacentral:rRNA from 1 species
GGUAUGCUUAGGGAGGAGCUUGCGUCACAUUAGUUAGUUGGUGGGGUAAAGGCCUACCAAGACUAUGAUGUGUAGCCGGGCUGAGAGGUUGAACGGCCACAUUGGGACUGAGACACGGCCCAAACUCCUACGGGAGGCAGCAGUAGGGAAUUUUCGGCAAUGGAGGAAACUCUGACCGAGCAACGCCGCGUGAACGAUGAAGUAUUUCGGUACGUAAAGUUCUUUUAUUAGGGAAGAAUAAAUGAUGGAAAAAUCAUUCUGACGGUACCUAAUGAAUAAGCCCCGGCUAACUAUGUGCCAGCAGCCGCGGUAAUACAUAGGGGGCAAGCGUUAUCCGGAAUUAUUGGGCGUAAAGGGUGCGUAGGCUGUUAAAUAAGUUUAUGGUCUAAGUGCNAUGCUCAACAUUGUGAUGCUAUAAAAACUGUUUAGCUAGAGUAAGAUAGAGGCAAGUGGAAUUCCAUGUGUAGUGGUAAAAUGCGUAAAUAUAUGGAGGAACACCAGUAGCGAAGGCGGCUUGCUGGGUCUUUACUGACGCUGAGGCACGAAAGCGUGGGGAGCAAACAGGAUUAGAUACCCUGGUAGUCCACGCCGUAAACGAUGAGUACUAAACGUUGGGUAAAACCAGUGUUGAAGUUAACACAUUAAGUACUCCGCCUGAGUAGUACGUACGCAAGUAUGAAACUUAAAGGAAUUGACGGGACUCCGCACAAGCGGUGGAUCAUGUUGUUUAAUUCGAAGGUACCCGAAAAACCUCACCAGGUCUUGACAUGCUUCUGCAAAGCUGUAGAAACACAGUGGANGUUAUCAGUUGCACAGGUGGUGCAUGGUUGUCGUCAGCUCGUGUCGUGAGAUGUUGGGUUAAGUCCCGCAACGAGCGCAACCCUUAUUGUUAGUUGCCAGCACGUAAUGGNGGGGACUUUA